UACGGAGGGUGCAAGCGUUAUCCGGAUUCACUGGGUUUAAAGGGUGCGUAGGUGGGUCUGUAAGUCAGUGGUGAAAUCUCCGUGCUUAACAUGGAAACUGCCAUUGAUACUAUAGGUCUUGAAUUUUCUGGAGGUCAGCGGAAUAUGUCAUGUAGCGGUGAAAUGCUUAGAUAUGACAUAGAACACCAAUUGCGAAGGCAGCUGGCUACAGGUGGAUUGACACUGAGGCACGAAAGCGUGGGGAUCAAACAGG
rnacentral:rRNA from 1 species